AGAGUUUGAUCAUGGCUCAGAACGAACGCUGGCGGCAGGCCUCAAACAUGCAAGUCUAGGGGACGUAGCAAUACGUCACCGGCGGACGGGUGCGUAACACGUGGGAAUGUACUUAUUGGUUCGGAACAACUCAGGGAAACUUGAGCUAAUACCGAAUGUGCCCGAAAGGGGAAAGAUUUAUCGCCAAUAAAUCAGCCCGCGUCCGAUUAGCUAGUUGGUGGGGUAAAGGCUCACCAAGGCGACGAUCGGUAGCUGUUCUGAGAGGAAGAUCAGCCACACUGGGACUGAGACACGGCCCAGACUCCUACGGGAGGCAGCAGUUGGGAAUCUUGGACAAUGGGGGAAACCCUGAUCCAGCCAUGCCGCGUGAGUGAUGAAGGCCUUAGGGUUGUAAAACUCUUUCGGCGGGGACGAUAAUGACGGUACCCGCAGAAGAAGCUCCGGCUAACUUCGUGCCAGCAGCCGCGGUAAUACGAAGGGGGCUAGCGUUGUUCGGAAUUACUGGGCGUAAAGCGUGCGCAGGCGGCCAUCCAAGUCAGUGGUGAAAGCCCGGAGCUCAACUCCGGAAUUGCCAUUGAAACUGUUUGGCUCGAGUACGAGAGAGGUGAGUGGAAUUCCCAGUGUAGAGGUGAAAUUCGUAGAUAUUGGGAAGAACACCGGUGGCGAAGGCGGCUCACUGGCUCGUAACUGACGCUCAUGCACGACAGCGUGGGGAUCAAACAGGAUUAGAUACCCUAGUAGUCC
rnacentral:rRNA from 1 species